rnacentral:rRNA from 1 species
CCCUUAGAUGUUCUGGGCCGCACGCGCGCUACACUGAUGCAUUCAGCGAGUCUAAAACCUGCUCUGAUAGGGGUGGGUAAUCUUUUGAAUGUGCAUCGUGAUUGGGAUAGAUGAUUGCAAUUUUUCAUCUUCAACGAGGAAUGCCUAGUAAACGCAAGUCAUCAGCUUGCAUUGAUUACGUCCCUGCCCUUUGUACACACCGCCCGUCGCUCCUACCGAUUGAAUGAUCCGAUGAAUAUCAUGGAUUGAGGAUGCAAGUAGGUUAGCCUAUCUUCAUCUUCGAGAAGUGAAGUAAAUCUUAUCAUUUAGAGGAAGGAGAAGUCGUAACA